UCCCUGGUGGUCCAGUGGUUAGGACUCUGCACUUUCACUGCUGAGUGCCUAGUUUCAAUCCCUGGUUGAGUAA
rnacentral:tRNA from 1 species